ensembl:snoRNA
GGGGUGUACUCAGAGUCAGUGGCCUAAAGAAUGGCUUCUCAGCCAUUUAUAACACACCCAAUAGAAAUCUAGGGUCCUUGUGACAAGGGGCACAAAACUUGUCACUUUCGUUUGAGCAAAUGCCUUAUACAG